AUGGUCUGGAAUAUAGCCCGUCCA
rnacentral:siRNA from 1 species